rnacentral:sRNA from 2 species
ACUGUCAAUCUAUCUACCACUGUCAAUCUAUUUAUCACUGCUAAUCUAUCGCUGCUAAUCUAUCACUGCUAAUCUAUCACUGCUAAUCUAUUGCUGCUAAUCUAUCACUGUUAAUCUAUCAUCAUUAAUCUAUCUACUGCUGUCAAUCUAUCUACUGCUGUCAAUCUAUCUACUGCUGCCAAUCU